rnacentral:rRNA from 1 species
CAGUCGCCACGGUAAUACGUAGGUGGCAAGCGUUGUCCGGAAUUAUUGGGCGUAAAGGGCUCGCAGGCGGUUUCUUAAGUCUGAUGUGAAAGCCCCCGGCUCAACCGGGGAGGGUCAUUGGAAACUGGGAAACUUGAGUGCAGAAGAGGAGAGUGGAAUUCCACGUGUAGCGGUGAAAUGCGUAGAGAUGUGGAGGAACACCAGUGGCGAAGGCGACUCUCUGGUCUGUAACUAACGCUGAGGAGCGAAAGCGUGGGGAGCAAACAGGAUUAGAUACCCCAGUAGUCCCUGUCUCUUAUAA